UACGUAGGGGGCAAGCGUUGUCCGGAGUUAUUGGGCGUAAAGCGCGUGUAGGCGGCCAGAUAGGUCUGCUGUGAAAACUCGAGGCUCAACCUCGAGCUGUCGGCGGAAACCAUCUGGCUAGAGUCCGGAAGAGGAGAGUGGAAUUCCUGGUGUAGCGGUGAAAUGCGCAGAUAUCAGGAAGAACACCUAUGGCGAAGGCAGCUCUCUGGGCCGACAUUGACGCUGAGGAGCGAAAGCGUGGGGAGCGAACAGG
rnacentral:rRNA from 1 species